CCUAACACAUGCAAGUCGAACGGUAACAGGAAACAGCUUGCUGUUUCGCUGACGAGUGGCGGACGGGUGAGUAAUGUCUGGGAAACUGCCUGAUGGAGGGGGAUAACUACUGGAAACGGUAGCUAAUACCGCAUAACGUCGCAAGACCAAAGAGGGGGACCUUCGGGCCUCUUGCCAUCGGAUAUGCCCAGAUGGGAUUAGCUAGUAGGUGGGGUAACGGCUCACCUAGGCGACGAUCCCUAGCUGGUCUGAGAGGAUGACCAGCCACACUGGAACUGAGACACGGUCCAGACUCCUACGGGAGGCAGCAGUGGGGAAUAUUGCACAAUGGGCGCAAGCCUGAUGCAGUCAUGCCGCGUGUAUGAAGAAGGCCUUCGGGUUGUAAAGAC
rnacentral:rRNA from 1 species